UAUUUCGGCCACGUGAUUAGCAGUGAAUGGGGUGAGUAUCAAUUUAUCCAAGGUUGAGGCGAUGGUGAACUGGGCAGCCCACGUCUGUCAAAGAACUGAGGGCAGCAUCAAGACUUGAAGGGUUUUCUGCUUUUUCUUUCUUUUUUAGGCUAUAGCUGCCAUUCAACUGGAGCCGGAGAACCCUACAAAUCGUGAUGCAAUGCUUUUAGUCUUGUUGGAGGCAGAGCUAGGAUCGGAGAGCACACAAUUGGGAAACCAACUUCAAGAACUUGCUUCCAUUUCUUGGAUCUCUUCUUAGGAAAUCCAGUGAAGCGUAUCAGAACUUUUCCGUUAUAAAAAGCGUGAGGGAAAGUGAAAAUCUACAGGUCAAUAAUUGUGGAUCUGGCCACAUGUUGGUUCGAUUUGCAGUUUAAGGCUUGAGCGCAGUUGCAUCUCUGUUGGAUCUUUGUUGCUUGGGUUUGUUAUCCAUUAAGUAUCAGUUAUAGUCGUGAUCAUAGUGAGGUACUUUGCAGUCUAUUCUAAUGGGGAGAGAAUUGUGCACUUUGUUUGCUUCAGAGACUCAAAUAUAUAAAUGCAGUUGGAAGAGGUUCCCAGUUGAGGAAAAGAUGAUAAUGAGAACUUGGAUUUGGAAGAAUUUAGUUUUCUUGGUUGCUUUAUAUGGGGCAUUGAUCCAUUUAUUCCUGAAAGGAGGACACUUCUGCUGAUCUACUUUCCGUGUUUCUGGAAGCGUUCUGGUGGUACAAUUGUGCAAGCAAAGAAUGAUGCUUUUCAAAAAGGAAUGUGUAAUGCACAUUUAUGUUGUACAUUAUGUCAAUGUGGAAGUUAAUAUAAUCGAUU